GCAAUUGCCACCUCCGCUGCCCAGCAAAACUCCACCUCCUCCCCCUCCAAAGACGACCCGCAAGCAGACCUCCGUGGACUCUGGGAUUGUGCAGUGAAAGCAGUGAGACUCUCAGAAGAGCAAGCUCUUGUCUUUCCUCACCUCCUCAUAGUCUUGCAUGUCUGAUGUUUAUCUCACUGGGCCUGCAAAGUCUGACCUUUAGUUCAAUGGCUUUUCCCUAAGAGGAGUUGGUUCUAGCCAUAACAUUAUGGAACAUGGAGGAUAUGGGGCCAGGACAUACCCUUGUGUUUAUCAAAGUUGGGAGUUUCCAAGGGUAUCAUUCUUUGAGAGAGCCAUAGUCUUGCCCAAACAUCCUUCCUUUUAUAUGCUAAAUGACUUGUAUUAGCAAAGAGCACAGCUGAUCUGAGGUUAGCCAAGCGCGAGAAAUGAGACCGUCACUGGUGAGAAGUUAUGUAGUAGGAUGUGUGAGAAGCCUCAUGUUCUCUCUUCUGCCUAGGCUCUCGCUCACUCUCAUGGGAUGUUUGAUCAGACUCCUUCCUUUCUGCAUCUGUGGUGUGACUUUGUGUUGGUUGAGUAUGUCUUCAACCUGCGUCUGGCAACUAAGUUCAACCCUUCAGGGAAGUUCCUGAUUUUUUUCUUGGUAUAAUUUAAAAUAGAAUAUUUCUCAGCUACUGAACAGUUACUAAUUUAUGGAGUAAAAAUACCAUUAUGAAUACUGGAUCAAGUGGAAAAAUAAACAUGAGUACAGCAAAAUAAACUUUCAUUCUUUUUUUAAAAAAGAAUAUGUAUACCAUAAGAGAUGGUUUUUAAUUGGAUGAAUUCUUUGUGUCCUCAUACUGUACAGAAGUUUGUAUAUAUGAUGGUUCUUAGAACUUGUUUUAAUUUUUGUGCUCCUUGUGUCUAUUGCAAUAGACAUCUGCCAGUGAUUCUCAGUAUGUGUUCUUAAUUUUUAACUGCUGGAAAUGUAAAAACAACAACCACAAAACCCCACAAAUUAAGUUUGUUUUUUCAGAACUUCAAAGUCCUAAAAAUGCUGGUGGACAAUGAUUUUUUUAAACUAACUUUGUAUAAUCUAAUAUUUUUAUUCUGUCAUCUAUAUUUUUUUAUUCACUAUGACCAUGAUACUGUUCUAGUAGGCUUCAUAGGUAAUCAUUGACAAUGAAAAAUAAAAUGUUAUUUAAAAAGAUUCAA
rnacentral:lncRNA from 1 species